rnacentral:misc_RNA from 1 species
AGUCGUAACAAGGUUUCCGUAGGUGAACCUGCGGAAGGAUCAUUAACACAAAUGAUACAACCUUUUUGGUGUGACUCUCACGAGUCGCACCAAAAAAACCACACUGGCAAAAGUUAAAGUCUAUAAACAUUACCAUUAAUGUUUAUGGUACUUUUAUCUUCAACAAAUAAACCACAUAAAAACAUCACAUAUUUAUGAUUAUAUCGUAAAAGAAUAUAAUCUAUAAACAACUUUUUGCGACGGAUCUCUUGGCUCGU